rnacentral:rRNA from 1 species
AACUUUUUAGAAGGGAGUAAAAAAGAAGGCGAACCCCUGAUGGGGGAAAAAGGAAAUAGCCCCAGUCUUUGUCUUUUUUUUUCAACCACCCGCAAGCAGCACUCGAGCUGGCGGCCCCCGCAUGGGGUUACAUAGUACCGUCAGGGAAAGUUGAAAAAGAACUUUUUUAAGAGAGUUAAUCAGUACGUGAAAUUGUCGAAAGGGAAACGCUUGCAUUCAGUCCCGUUCGCCGGGGAUCAACCUCGGGGGGGCUGGGCGUAUUUUCCGGCAAAAAAGGGCAUGGCUUUUUUGCCCGCUUAUGAAAGAGCUGUGGAUCGUCGGCGGUCGCUUGCGACACGACCUGUGCCAGCAGUUCGGUCCUGGUCGAGAUGACCUCUUCCCUAUUCUCGGUGUAAGAGCUGGUCAUCUCUCCGACCCGUCUUGAAACACGGAUCAAGGAGUUUAUCGUGUGCGCGAGUCAUUCAGCGUUGAAAACCCAAAGGCGCAAUGAAAGUGAAGUAACACGCAAGUGGCUGAUGUGCGAAAUUGUGUUCCAAGGCACACGAGCGCAGCAUGGCCCCAUCCUGACUUUUUGCAACGGGUUGGAGGAAGAGCGUGCUAUGAUGGGACCCGAAAGAUGGUGAACUAUUCCUGAACAGGAUGAAGCCAGAGGAAACUCUGGUGGAAGUUCGAAGCGAUUCUGACGUGCAAAUCGAUCGUC